GAGAGAGAGAGAGAGAGAAAUUGCACUAACGAAUUGAAAACCAUUCGUAAAUUCUUUAUCGUUCUCGUUGGGUCUGUGUGGUGUAUUAGCAUUUAUCAAAUCUGAUUAAUUACAAACCCUAGAUUUUAUUUUUAAUUACGGGAGGGAGGGGAUCGAAUAUCUCCAAAUCUGUAUCUGUGCCGUAGUUUAGUUUUAUGGCGCUUCGAAGAUCAAAACUAAUAUUCUUACUAUGCGUUUUAUCGCACGCUCUCAUUGCCAUUGCAGGGAAGAGCUAUUAUGAUAUUCUUCAAGUUCCAAGAGGUGCUUCUGAUGAGCAGAUUAAACGAGCUUAUCGGAAGCUCGCAUUGAAGUAUCAUCCUGAUAAAAAUCAGGGAAAUGAAGAAGCUAACAAGAAAUUUGCUGAGAUGAGCAAUGCUUAUGAAGUGCUAUCGGAUAGUGAGAAGAGGAACAUAUACGAUAAGUAUGGUGAAGAAGGUCUGAAACAGCACGCCGCCAGUGGUGGCGGUGGAGGCGGAAUGAAUAUUCAAGACAUAUUUAGGAAUUUUUUUGGUGGAGGUCCAAUGGAAGAGGAAGAGAAAAUUGUGAAAGGUGAUGAUGUAAUUGUUGAAUUAGAUGCUACAUUGGAGGAUUUGUACAUGGGAGGAUCAUUGAAGGUUUGGAGGGAGAAAAACAUUAUAAAGUUAGCCCCGGGCAAGAGACGCUGUAAUUGUCGAAAUGAGGUCUACCACAGGCAAGUCGGUCCAGGAAUGUUCCAGCAGAUGACAGAGCAGGUCUGCGAACAAUGCCCAAAUGUGAAAUAUGAAAGAGAGGGGAAUUUCAUCACUGUCGAUAUUGAGAAGGGAAUGCAAGAUGGACAAGAGGUGGUUUUCUAUGAAGAUGGUGAGCCUAUAAUAGAUGGUGAAGCUGGAGAUCUAAGGUUCCGAAUUCACACAGCACCGCAUGAUCACUUCAGAAGGGAAGGCAAUGAUUUGCACACAACUGUUACUAUCACACUGGGGCAAGCACUUGUCGGUUUUGAAAAAACCAUUAAACAUCUCGAUGAUCAUCUAGUAGACAUCAGUUCAAAGGGAAUUACCAAACCAAAAGAUAUCAAAAAGUUUAAAGGUGAAGGCAUGCCAUUGCACUUUAGCACAAAGAAGGGCGAUUUGUAUGUUACAUUUGAGAUUCUUUUCCCGACUACACUAACAGAGGACCAGAAGACACAGAUCAAGACAAUUCUCAAUUAGGGGUAUAGAACUAAACAUUUUUUUCUUGGGUACUAAGAUGUUCACUUGUAACAUUGACAAGGUCCAUACAGAAGAUUCAAGGCACACUGCUUUUUCUUUUUUCCUCAUUUUGUCUAAUGAGUAGCAGUACACAUUCUACCAAGGAUAUCCUUGUUGGGACUUCCUAUCUGCACACUAUUUUUGUCUAUUUAAGGUAUAGCUUUGUCAAAUAAGUAUAUUUCUAUCUUU